GACCGGAGUGGACGCAUCACUGGUGUUCGGGUKGUCAUGCCAAUGGCACUGCCCGGUAGCUAAAUGCGGAAGAGAUAAGUGCUGAAAGCAUCUAAGCACGAAACUUGCCCCGAGAUGAGUUCUCCCUGAGACUUAGAGUCUCCUGAAGGAACGUUGAAGACGACGACGUUGAUAGGCCGGGUGUGUAAGCGCAGCGAUGCGUUGAGCUAACCGGUACUAAUGAACCGUGAGGCUUAACCUUACAACGCCGAAG
rnacentral:rRNA from 1 species